rnacentral:rRNA from 1 species
CAGCAGCCACGGGAAUACAGAGGGUGCGAGCGUUAAUCGCAUUUACUGGGCGUAAAGCGUGCGUAGGCGGCUUCUUAAGUCGGAUGUGAAAUCCCUGAGCUUAACUUAGGAAUUGCAUUCGAUACUGGGAAGCUAGAGUAUGGGAGAGGAUGGUAGAAUUCCAGGUGUAGCGGUGAAAUGCGUAGAGAUCUGGAGGAAUACCGAUGGCGAAGGCAGCCAUCUGGCCUAAUACUGACGCUGAGGUACGAAAGCAUGGGGAGCAAACAGGAUUAGAUACCCGCGUAGUCCCUGUCUCUUAUAA